rnacentral:rRNA from 1 species
UACGUAGGGGGCAAGCGUUGUCCGGAAUCAUUGGGCGUAAAGCGCGUGUAGGCGGCCCGAUAAGUCCGCUGUGAAAGUCCAGGGCUCAACCCUGGAAUGCCGGUGGAUACUGUCGGGCUCGAGUCCGGAAGAGGCGAGUGGAAUUCCGUGGUGUAGCGGUGAAAUGCGCAGAUAUCAGGAGGAACACCGAUGGCGAAGGCAGCUCGCUGGGACGGUACUGACGCUGGAGACGCGAAAGCGUGGGGAGCAAACAGG